CUGGGCUUGACAUGUAAUGAACAACAUGUGAAAGCAUGCGACUCUUCGGAGGCGUUACACAGGUGCUGCAUGGCCGUCGUCAGCUCGUGUCGUGAGAUGUUUGGUUAAGUCCAGCAACGAGCGCAACCCCUGUUGCCAGUUACCAGCACAUGAAGGUGGGGACUCUGGCGAGACUGCCCAGAUCAACUGGGAGGAAGGUGGGGACGACGUCAGGUCAGUAUGGCCCUUAUGCCCAGGGCUGCACACGUACUACAAUGCCCAGUAUAGAGGGGGCCGAAGCCGCGAGGCGGAGGAAAUCCUAAAAACUGGGCCCAGUUCGGACUGUAGGCUGCAACCCGCCUACACGAAGCCGGAAUCGCUAGUAAUGGCGCAUCAGCUACGGCGCCGUGAAUACGUUCCC
rnacentral:rRNA from 1 species